rnacentral:ncRNA from 1 species
UUACCACAGGGAUAACUGGCUUGUAGCAAAUGAGCGAUCAUAGCGACUUUGCUUUUUGAUUCUUCGAUGUCGUCUCUUCUGAUCAUCGUAGUGUAUAUGUUACGAAGUGUUGGAUUGUUCACCCGUUAAUGAGGAACGUGAGAUGGGUUUAGACCGUCGUGAGACAGGUUAGUUUUACCCUACUGUUUAUAUUAUUAAGAAAAGUUAUAUAGUACGAGAGGAACAAUAAGUGAUGACCUCUGGUGUAGCGAUUAAUUAUUCAAUUAUGUUGCAAAACUACGUCAUGAAUAAUAAAUGCUGAAAGCCUCUUAAGCAUGAAGUUAAUCUUAAUGAUAAGCAAUUGAGGAAUACUACCUCUCUGAAGAGUGGGACUGUAAGAAUGAAGGUGUAUACCGACAUUUUGAGGUUACCAUUUCGUUCUGUAUAAAAAUACCUUCAC